rnacentral:misc_RNA from 1 species
GGCAGUAAAAGUCGUAACAAGGUUUCCGUAGGUGAACCUGCGGAAGGAUCAUUAUUGUAUAACCGAGGUGCGAGGGCUGUCGCUGACCCGAAAGGUCGUGCACGCCCGAGUGCCCUCACACACAUCCAUCUCACCCCUAUGUGCACCACCGCGUGGGUCCCCCUUUGGCUUGUUCGGAGGGGGGCUUACGUUUUCACACAAACUUUGUAUGCAGUGUAGAAUGUAUUUUUUGUUUUUGCGAUCACGCAAUCAAUACAACUUACAACAACGGAUCUCUUGGCUCUC